UGGGGAAUUUUGGACAAUGGGCGAAAGCCUGAUCCAGCAAUGCCGCGUGUGUGAAGAAGGCCUUCGGGUUGUAAAGCACUUUUGUCCGGAAAGAAAUCCUUGGCUCUAAUACAGUCGGGGGAUGACGGUACCAGAAGAAUAAGCACCGGCUAACUACGUGCCAGCAGCCGCGGUAAUACGUAGGGUGCAAGCGUUAAUCGGAAUUACUGGGCGUAAAGCGUGCGCAGGCGGUUUGCUAAGACCGAUGUGAAAUCCCCGGGCUCAACCUGGGAACUGCAUUGGUGACUGGCAGGCUAGAGUAUGGCAGAGGGGGGUAGAAUUCCACGUGUAGCAGUGAAAUGCGUAGAGAUGUGGAGGAAUACCGAUGCGAAGGCAGCCCCCUGGGCCAAUACUGACGCUCAUGCACGAAAGCGUGGGGAGCAAACAGGAUUAGAUACCCUGGUAGUCCACGCCCUAAACGAUGUCAACUAGUUGUUGGGGAUUCAUUUCCUUAGUAACGUAGCUAACGCGUGAAGUU
rnacentral:rRNA from 1 species